CCCACUGCAGCUGGGGCGCUCCGGCCUUCCGCGUCGGGUCCUGCUCGUGUGUGGGCCGCGGGUGCGUACCUGCCCCGGCUUGGCCGGCACAGAGGAUCUCCUGCCUCUCCUGGUGCCGCGGGUUGCGGCGAGUUCUGGGUUCCCCGGAAACCCGGCGGGAGAGCUCGUGCGGGCUCCGGGGCACCCCAGCCGCCGUCCCCUCUCCCAGAUCCCAGGCCUCUGCUGGAGUCGCGACUCCUAAACUCUAGGCGGUGCCGCCGGAGUCUCGAUCUCCUGUGUCACCAUCCGGGAAGCGAGGCCGGGCGGGGCCGGAGAAUUAGAGUUUGCACCGUUUUCCGGGGGCUGGUGUCGUGAGCCUGGGGCCGCGCUUGGGAGCCUGCAGCUCUCAGCGCGCGCUGUGGUAUCUGGCCCCUGCGGCUCGGCGUCUGCUCCCGGUUGCCUGCGAUCCUGCCUUGCUCACCACCUUAGGUGCUGGGGAAGAGCCUGGACGCACAACUUCCGGUCGCCGGGGGUGGGGGGCUGAUCCUAGAACUAAACAUCUCCUGCCCCUCCUGAGCCUAGCAGGAGGUGGGGAGCAGUGCCCACCAAAGAAGACGGACAGAGAUGUGGAAACCCAGAUGGAAGAUUUAAAACGAAGACUGGCCAGGCCUGACUGCACAUGCCUUGUGAUCCUAGCACUCCGGAGGCUGAAGCAGGAGGAUCACCGGGACAGAGUUUCACACUGCAGUUCACGCUGGCUUUGAAUUCACUAUGUAGCCCAGGCUGACCUUGAACUCAUGGUGAUCCUCCUGCCUCCGCCUCCCAAGUACUGGGAUUACAGUCUCCCUAAAUCGCCCAGAUUGGCCUGGAACUUGCAAACCAUAAGAGAAGUUGCCCGGAUGUGACCUGACCAGCCUGCAUGCCCGAGGCCUCGCACUCCUGGGAUCGCAGCCUCGGCUUAGCACUUUCACCCCAGACUCCAGUGGGGAGUAUGUUUCCACCUGGAGGAGCAGCAGUCCUGCCCCGAAGCGAUUGAAGCAGUAAUGAUAGAGAGAUUGAAAGUGUUUGAUGCACCCUAUAUGGUCCAAACACUCAACAGUGAGAUCCAU